CCCUUACGCUCUUCGUCUCCCUUUCCUUUCGUUCAAAGCCGUUGACCCUUGCUUUCCUCAAACCAUUACGAUAAACCUCACGCACACCUCUCAAUUUCCUUCAAACGCUGUCGGCCAUCAAACACACGAACUCCACCCUCUGUAAAUGUCGCUGACCAUCUCCGUUUGAUAUAAGAGGACCGAACUCCACUCUCAAGUAAUCCAAAUGCCGGCCAUCAGAGGAGUUUCAUGUUCCACCGCCCAUUCAAGGAUCCAAUCAGCUAUCCGUCCCUCGUGUUCCUCGCUCACCGUCGGCAGCGUUUCAUCAGGGUGAAUUGGGGAGUUGGAGUUUCAAGAGCAAAACCUAUGACACUUUCUAUGAAGGAUACAUGUUUCCUCUACUUGUCAAGGAGCAGCUGGAGUUUCGGCCCGAAAAGAAUUUUUGACGAGUUUGGAUGAGUGCCCCACAAAAAGAAAUCAAAUCCCUCAAAUUUCAAUGCCAUGAAGGCAAUCUCAGAAACUCAAAGGUCUUCAGUGAAUCAAGAAUUGUGGAAUACGAUUUCAAAGAAAGACUUAUUUCCCCUAAAAAACACGAGUUGAUGAGAGUUUCAAUUUUGAACACAAAUUAUUGUCAAUAAGAAGCAACACUAAAGUUUUUGGGAAGAAACAUAGAUUUGGAAUCCAUGAUCGUCAAGUUGUAUGUUGUUGAAGGAAAAAUAGUUCAUCAUGAGGACUGAUUGUGAAGAAGCACGCUCACCAUUUGUGUAGAAGUACAAGACUGUCAUACACCCUGGUGAGGACAAAAAACUUGAAACGGAAGACCCUGAGAAGAAGAAGAAUGAAGAAAAGCUUAAUUGGACUGGCUCGGGGCCUGGUUCGGCCUCGGAUGAUUCGGUUGAGUUGGCUGAUAUGGAUUCUUCUGUGUUGGAUGAGCUUUUGGUGAUGCUGAAGAAAUGUAGAGCAGAAAGUAUUGGCUGGAUCGGAAGUGAUCAAUAAGGAGUGGUGUUAUUCUUGCAAUAAGUGAUCAAUUAGAUAUAGUGUUAACUUUUUAACUUUAAGAUGGUCAUAAUAAUUCUUGCAAUAAUGAGUGAUGUUAAAUAAAAUAUGAGUUGCUAUAUUUCAACACCUAUUACAUUAGUUCUUAAUAUGGAUAAGACCUUAUUUUCUUAUGGGGUGGAUUGUUGAGAUUUAUAUAUAUGUUUAUGUAUUUUAGGUCAGGCUCGGUUCGUUAGGAUACUAUGAACUAAACAUGGAGUCCUAUCUUUGAAACCUUGUAAAUGUUUUUGGAGAGUUUCUUCCAAAAGUUAGUGCUUGUAAAUUAUAGCGAGUAAUUCUUCCUCAUACUUUAUUAUAUGUAUCAAGGUGUGUUGGGCAUAAAACUUUUUAGUGCACAUCAAUGAGCUUUUAAAUCCUUUGCAAAUGUUUUGCUAGAAUCCAUUGGAGCAGCGAAGCCAUAUUUGUAGCAAUUCAUUGAUGUAUAGGCAUUUUUGUAGGUUUGGUAGGAAAAUUUCUAACUUAAAUAUAGUUAUUUAAAUAGCUUGUUUGUAACAAACAAUAUAUGUACCAACACUUACAGCGAUAUUAUAAAGUGUAUGUUUCUUUAUACUAAAGCGUUCA